GGAAACAGUAAAACAUGGACAACAACACGCCUAGGCUAGAACAAUUGAUGGAACUAAAUAAAAGUGUGGAGAAUAGUAAAUACUACUUUUUACAAGAAUCUUCGGCUUUUGUAGAAGUAGAUGUGAAAGUAACUGGGGUUGUAGGAUGGUCCCGCACCACCAAGCUAAGAACUUCAGGCCUUGCAUAAUGACCGACUACAUCGAAAUCAAAUUUUGCCCGUGCUAUUUCUCCAAGAUCUAGAUCUGCUGAAAUAAGUGCCUCUCCAUCGUAAUUGGGUCCAGCUAGGAUUGUCCCUGAAGGUGAUAUGAUGGCACUACCUCCAGCACAAACAACAGAAUCUGGGCUCAGCUCCUCUUCUGUGCCGGAAAAUACAUAUUCUGGUGGAGGCGGGUAGUCUUUUCUUCGGCAGAACUGGUUGGCUGACAAAACAAAACAUCCACCCUCCAAAGCAAUAUGGGUCAUUGAUGCUUGCCAUGUAUCCCGAGAAUCAGCAGUAGGUGCACAAUAUAUUUCAAUGCCUUUUGC
rnacentral:misc_RNA from 1 species